rnacentral:rRNA from 1 species
GUGGGGAAUAUUGCACAAUGGGCGAAAGCCUGAUGCAGCAACGCCGCGUGAGUGAUGAAGGCCUUCGGGUUGUAAAACUCUGUCUUUGGGGACGAUAAUGACGGUACCCAAGGAGGAAGCCACGGCUAACUACGUGCCAGCAGCCGCGGUAAUACGUAGGUGGCAAGCGUUAUCCGGAUUAACUGGGCGUAAAGGGUUCGUAGGCGGACUGUUAAGUCAGAUGUGAAAUUCUGGGGCUCAACCCCAGCGCUGCAUUUGAUACUGGCAGUCUAGAGUGCGGGAGAGGAGAGUGGAAUUCCUAGUGUAGCGGUGAAAUGCGUAGAGAUUAGGAAGAACACCAGUGGCGAAGGCGACUCUCUGGACCGUAACUGACGCUGAGGAACGAAAGCGUGGGGAGCAAACAGGAUUAGAUACCCUUGUAGUCC